CCUACGGGAGGCAGCAGUGGGGAAUAUUGGGCAAUGGGCGAAAGCCUGACCCAGCGACGCCGCGUGGGGGAUGAAGGCCUUCGGGUCGUAAACCCUUGUCAGGGGGGACGAUGGGUAUGUGAGCUAAUACCUCAUAUACUUGACGGUACCUCCAAAGGAAGCCCCGGCUAACUCCGUGCCAGCAGCCG
rnacentral:rRNA from 1 species